rnacentral:lncRNA from 1 species
CCUCCACUUCAUUGACACCUGUGAAUUAAUUUCAUUGCUAAAAAGACCUUCUUUAAUAACCUUUUAACACAAUGACAUACUGACUGUGAAGAAACAUAGUUCUUUAAUCUUUUUAAUUAAUGACUACCAACUAUUAACUCCCACGUAUAAAAUAACUUGAAGAUUGACAUUGUCUACCGUCACUCAAAAGAACACUGUUUCCACCAAUUGUAAUUGUGAAUUCGACUACAUCUUAGUCCACUUACUUAAUUCAAAAGUUUAAAAAAAGAAAUCGUUCUGAGGAGGGCCCAUAUCCGGGUCGAAACGUUAACUAAAAAUACGUUUUCUUAAUUGACCGAUCACCAAGACUCUAUAAUAUAUUUUAUUUAAUGUCAUUUAACACAUGAAAUAUUCACAAUUUAAUGACAUUAAAGUAGUGUCAUUUCGCCCAUUCGGCUUAUUGUUAGGCCAGCUUGGCGCUAACUUCACAUCGCGAAAUACGAUGCUCCAACUAUGUUCAACAAACCAUUCUACGUUAAUUCUAUCAUCAACUGUCUAAAAAGAGUCACUACGUAACCGAAUGGAUCUACUACAAAUAGCGGUUAAAUGGGGGAAUCCAAGGGAGAGGAGGCAAAGGAGAGAAGAAGAAUAGACGAACAUUUUACUUGCACAUAAUUUGAAAGACCGGAAGUUAACGCCCGGACUGAGCGUGCAUACAAUCGAAGACUGUGAC